AUGUACCACCCGUACAUUGCGGUUCCGAGCGCGCCGUCCACGCCCACCUGACGACUGCUCGCGACAUUUUGGUAGCC
rnacentral:sRNA from 1 species